rnacentral:lncRNA from 1 species
UCUUCUGGCCAGAUCACUUUGGUUCUCUGGGUGAUGAAGUGCUGAAGGCAUUUUAAGCAUUGGUGGCUGUGUAAAGGCGUAACAAGAAGUCUGCCCAAGGAUGAUCCUGUACUGAUUGCAAGAUUGUGGGGUAACAGGCUGGAUCCUAUGUGGUCCUUCCUUGUCUUGGGGGACCCUUGUUAAAGGCACAACAAGAAGCAGUUUCUCAGAUUUGCUUGUGAACUGAGAAAUCAGAGAUCUGCAGAAAAUAACAGCACCGGCUGGCUCUGCUCAACGCCAGCAGGAUCAUGACAAAACCAAAGGCUGUUCCUGCCUGGUGCUGGCACCUACUGUGCUGAAGU